AGUUCUGUCGUUAUUUCAAUUUUUAUAUCCGGACUAUAGAUGACGAUUCUCUUUUGUUAUUCGUUCUCAUUCACGAUCUGCAAAGAAAAAAGAUGUUUCGAGUCUAAUUUUCUAAUCUCCAGUGAUAUAGUCGUCACAGAAAAUUAAGAUUAGAAUUAGACCGAAACUACCGUAUGUUACAUAUUUAUAGAUAACUUAAUGUAAGGAUGUUAAAUCACGUCAGCUUAUCAAAACGUGUCUAGAUACAUUCUAAUAGUUAAAUCUAUCGUAUUUUUUUAUAGAUCGACUCUAAUAGACCGACUUAUCUUUAUAGAUCGUCUUGAAUAAAUCAAAUGAGCCACAUCCAACACUUGAAACAUUUUAAAAAAUAAAAAUCUGUUCCUUGGAAGUUAGAAUUUAGGGCGUGUUUGGUUCGCUUCUUUUUUUCUCUGGAAUCGGAAUCAGAAUGGAUGAAUCCGUUUGUGGGUGUUUGGUACGCAGGAGUCCCAGUCCGAUUCCAAUUUCCGAGUGGAAUGGAAAUCCCCCAAUCACCCAAUUUUUCAAUCCGGCCUAGGAGGCCGGAUUGGAAGUUGAAUCCGGACGGAAUGAAUAUUUAUUCGGAUUAAAUUUAUUUUUUCAACUUUUUUAAUUAAAAUAUGAGUUAAAAUAUAAAAAUUAAAUAUAUAUUUUUAAAUUUUAAUUUGAACUUAAAUUAAAAAUUAAAAUUUAAUCAAGUAUUUCGAAUCUAAUUUAUUGAAUUUGAAUUUAAAUUAAAUUUUAAUUUAUAUAAAGUUUUAUUUAAAUUUUAUUUCAAACUUAAAUUAAAUUUAUGGAU
rnacentral:lncRNA from 1 species